GCAGAACGCGAAGAACCUUACCAGGGCUUGACAUCCUGCUAAUCUUUCCGAAAGGAGAGAGUGCCUUCGGGCCGCAGUGACAGGUGAUGCAUGGCCGUCGUCAGCUCGUGUCGUGAGAUGUUUGGUUAAGUCCAUCAACGAGCGCAACCCUUGUGGCUAGUUGAAUUUUUCUAGUCAGACUGCCCUGGCAACAGGGAGGAAGGAGGGGAUGAUGUCAGGUCAGUAUUUCCCUUACGUCCUGGGCUACAAACACGCUACAAUGGCCGGUACAAAGGGCAGCCAAGUCGCGAGACGGAGCAAAUCCCAUCAAAGCCGGUCUCAGUUCGGAUUGCAGGCUGAAACUCGCCUGCAUGAAGUUGGAAUCGCUAGUAACGGUAGGUCAGCACACUACCGUGAAUACGUUCCCGGGUCUUGUACACACCG
rnacentral:rRNA from 1 species